CAAUAGGGUCACCUGUGACGAAAACUGACUUAUUAAAGAUGUAUUACAAUUUGUUAUCAUCUUAGACAAUCAUUCUAAUGUGAUAAACUGUGAAUAAAAUAAUUUAACUAAUGAUGGACAACUUUUUACGGUUACAUAUGAAUCUAGUCAAGUUAGUCUUCAAGAAUCAUUAACUGAUAGCAAUAAUGUAAUACGGUGCCCUUCUAAAGACUUUAGUGAACACAGCCUAAUUGAUCAAACUAUCUCUACUGAUGAUACAAACUUAGAUAUGUCUGUACAGCUCAGAUAGAUUACAAAAGAGCUCACAAAUGUUCAUCCUACAAAUCCUAUAAACAACAAAAUUUAUCAAUUAGAAUUUAUGAAAGACAAUUUGGAUCCUACGCCUGCAAUGAUUGACAAACAUCGUUUUAUUCAUAAGUUUUCAAUAAUAACUGUUGAUAACGAUAAAUCUCCCGAAAAACCUCUGAAAGAAAUAUUCACUUUGCCGUUGGAUUAUUUACUGAAGAAAAAAAUAAUAAAAAUUGAAAAAACAGGCAAGUCAAAGUUACCAUCUGUGGGGAUCUCUGAUGAAUGGUACAAACAAUUAAAAAAAGAAAAGUUAAAAAACAUGAAAGAAGAAAAACUUAAAAA